UCAGACAUGGUGUAACGGUAACACCGCCUCUCUAGCUGGGGUGCAUACAGUAUAUGAGGCAGUCGAGGGUUCGACUCCCUCUGUCUGAA